ACUCCACCUCUAUCACUGUAAUCCUAUAUCAAACAUAACCCUACAUCUAAUUCCAUGACUUUUGGUGUUGCCACAUCCACACUAAAAACCUAGACCUCACAGCCGCUAUCCAUUUGCAGCAACAAUAGGAGGGAGCGUAGACUCGCGACUACUAACUCGACUUCAUAUGGGAAUUUCCCAUCAAUUGGUAUGGCCAUCUGUGGGAUUAUCUCUUCUUAGCACGCCCUUCCAAAAAGAAAAAUACUAAUAGGAGAACAACACAAGCGGAUGAUGUCCAAAUGUGGAGGGGUCAUAACGGUAAAUAGACAAUAAAAGCCCUCCUCACAGUCACUAGCAGGUGGUCUAGCGUCACACAUCUCCUUUAUUAACGGCUUCAUCAUUGCUCGGAUAAACGUACUGCUACUCCUUCUCUCUCUCCCUCAUUGUUAGUGGAGGACGGAACUCCAAUCUCCAAAGACAAUCACUUAUAGACAAAGCUCAGCUUUCAUGGCUCCUGUUAGUUUCUUGAGUUGAUUCUCCUCUGGUCUCUCUUUCUUUUCUUGCGAUGUUCUUUGUUUAAUGUAUAUCAAAAUCACCAUUACCACAUCCAUCUCUGUAUCAUUUCCAGAUCUAUCAUUAUACUCUCUAAAUCUCUGUUCUAAUUUGUAAUUUUUCCUUUGUAAUCCCUUCAUAAUCUCUUCUUCAAAAAUUUUAUAUAUAUAUAUUUUUCACCUUCUUUGUGCUUGGCACUAUUUAUAGAAUCACCAGAAACCUCAUUAUUUUAGUCCGUAUUGAAUUCGCCCUCCAAAACUAGCCAAAAUUACGAAAAUGUCACUACCUUUUCUUUCCCUUUUUCUCGGGGUUUCUGUUUUCGUUCUCUUUUCCAGUCAUUUUGCGGUGGCCGGAGUGGUGACCUGCUCAGGGAUAGUACCGAUGAGGUAUAGGAACGACAAGAUAUCAAUAACGGACUUUGGAGGCGUCGGCGAUGGGAGGACGCUGAACACCAAAGCCUUUAGGGAGGCAAUAUAUCGGAUUCAGCAUCUGAGGAGAGGUGGUACGCUGCUCUAUGUACCUCCUGGGGUUUACUUAACGGGGAGUUUCAAUCUCACUAGCCGCAUGACUCUCUACUUGGCUAGAGGUGCCGUUAUUAAGGCCACUCAGGAUUCUUGGGAUUGGCCCUUAAUUGCUCCCUUGCCAUCUUAUGGAAGGGGGAGGGAGCGCCCUGGUGGGAGGUAUAUGAGCUUUAUUCAUGGAGAUGGACUUCAUGAUGUGGUAAUCACAGGUGAGAAUGGGACGAUUGAUGGACAAGGAGAUGUCUGGUGGAACAUGUGGAGGCAGAGAACUCUCCAAUUUACAAGACCUAAUCUUGUUGAAAUUAUAAAUUCAAGAAGCAUAAUUAUAUCCAAUGUGAUUUUCCGGAACUCUCCCUUUUGGAACAUUCAUCCUGUUUAUUGCAGCAAUGUUGUUAUCCGAUUUGUUACCAUCUUGGCCCCACACGAUUCUCCCAAUACUGAUGGAAUUGAUCCAGAUUCAAGCUCUAACGUAUGCAUAGAGGAUUCGUUCAUUUCUACUGGAGAUGAUCUUGUAGCUGUGAAAAGCGGGUGGGAUGAAUAUGGGAUAGCUUAUGGUCGACCAAGCUCUGGCAUCACAAUUCGGCGAGUAACAGGAUCAUCUCCUUUUGCUGGAAUUGCGGUUGGAAGUGAAACCUCUGGUGGGGUGGAGAAUGUCUUGGCAGAAAACAUAAGCCUCUACAAUAUGGGAGUUGGCAUACAUGUAAAAACAAACACCGGCAGAGGAGGGUUUAUAAGAAAUAUCACAUUUUCUGAUGUGUAUAUGGAAAACGUGCGCAAGGGGAUAAAGAUUGCAGGUGAUGUUGGAGAUCACCCGGAUGACAAUUUCAAUCCAAAUGCUCUCCCAGUUGUUAAGGGUAUCACGCUUAGAAGUGUUUGGGGGGAGAAGGUUCAGCAACCGGGUUCCAUACAAGGCCUGAAGAACUCUCCUUUCACUGCUAUCUGUCUGUCCAACAUCACCCUACAUGGCGUCCCAGGACCAAGAUCUACUCAAUGGAAGUGCUCUGAUGUAAGUGGUGCUGCUCAUGAGGUAAGCCCAUGGCCAUGUUCUGAGCUUACUGCCACACAUCAGGCUGCUUCAUGUUCUGAUCAUAUUUAAUAUUGUGUGAUUCUUUUUUCAUUUCAGUUCAAAAAAUAAGUCUUGAAUUUUUCGCACUUAAAAAUGAACGAAUAUUCAUCGGCCACAAGCAACUAUAAUGACAAAAUCAUUCUACAUUAUUUGAACUCUCAAACAAAACAGACCUCUAGAAGAACUCCACCUUGAGGUUCUUGACUGGACCCCGAGAGGUAAAGAUCAUCUGCAAAUGACUAAUUACUGAUUACUCUCUGACUUGAAAUUGCUGUUUUCAAUGGACAACCUGGAUUUGUCCUGUGAAGACCCUUUGGUAGAACUACUGAGAUUGUCAAUACAAAGAGGCAUUAAUCCUAGAUCGGUAAUCCCUCUGCAAUCUAGAUUUUCCACUGUUGAUUAUGAUUGUUUUAAAAAAAAACUACUGCUACAAUAUUCCAAACCCGAUCCAUCCAUAUUCCAUAUUCAAGGAGAAGAGAAGUUUGAAUAUAAUCUGAGGGACAUAUCUAAUCCAAACAUCCAUAAAGUAGCAUAUAAUGACAGUAUACAACACCUAAAUAGUGCACAUGUAAUAUGGUACACAAUCUCAUCACCUUCAUGCAUAUAACAUCUAACAUCCUAGGCACAAAUAUAGAGGUUUGCACAUCUUAUACAGAUGCCGACUUAUUUACGAAAGUAAUAACCACCCAGAAAUUUAAAGGAAAAAAAAAACCAUAAAUUAAAUAGAUCUUAUCAGCAUUGAUGGCUCUCAAAAAUGGUUCAAGAACUUGCGAAUCCCCUUCAUAAAUGCACCCUCAUGCUCUCUCUCUUCUCCUUCCUCCUCCUCCUCGUGGUGGUGGCGGUGGUGUUGGUGGUGGUGAGGCCUCUUGAUCAUCUCCUCUCUCCUCGACUCGUCGUUGACGAAUGAGAACCUGUUCCCGCCGUGGUUAAACCUGGUCCAUCUCACUGGGAUCUGACGAGGCCCAGCUAAACCAAGAUCCUUACCUCCAGAAAGAAUCAUGUCGUUGCCGAAGUAAACCUCCCGCGGGCUUUUAAAACGUAGACCGCCCCAUGGCUUUAACUGGUUGUGGUGCUGGUAGCGGCCACGGCAUCGAUGGCCACGACGAAACGGGAUCAAUGGACGUCGAAGGAAGUGGCGGUUGAUGGGACGGAAAGUGAUAAGCGUCAAUGGCACCGUCACAGUUGUCUCGGUCUCUGAUUUCUCGUGGAAAGACUCCGAUGUGCCAAUUUCCUUUCCGGGCAAUUUGGAUUCGGUGGAUUCUGUUUCUUCCGACUCAAGCUUCACGACGUUAGCUGAUUUGGAUUCAGGUUUCUCACUUGGGAGGACGAUGGUGGCGGUGGCCUUGGGAUCAGACUCAGGUAAGUCGGCUAAACGAUCAUCGCGGCUGGUAACGUCAUUUUCCGGCUGAUCCAACGGAGCACGAGCAUGAGCGAAGGUAAAUAAGAAUAAGAGAGCAGCGACGGCGACGGAAAGUGCGACGUUUCGAGACAUCGUUGAAUUUAAUUGAAAAAGUCGAAAGGGUGAGCGAUUUAUUAUGUAGGAGGAGGAGAGGAAAGAACCACAGAGAGAGGUGACGGAGGAGGUUUGACUGAGAGAAGAGUGAAACGCGGGCAGCGGGCAAAAGGAACAAGGACCAGGUGGCUUAUUACAGUUUGGCGUUUGGGUUAACGUGUCAUUAGGUUUUGGAUUUGGUACACCUUGUAGCGAAUAAGACAAAUUUGUGUAUGUUGAUUUAGCGGAGAUGAUGGUGGCGAAAUAUCCCUUGUCUGUAUUUAGAGUAGGGCCACUGUUUUCUGAAUUUACUCAGAUUGCCCUGCAUCCCUACGUAGACGUGGCUUCAAUAAGACGAGCUACAUCUAGUAUGGUCGUUUAUUCUAGUCCAAUCGGAUUGAUUGAGU
rnacentral:misc_RNA from 1 species